rnacentral:ribozyme from 1 species
AGGUGAAAUGAUUGCAGGUAUGGGAUCAACUUCUUAUGGAGCUUAUGGUUCACAAUCUAAUAAUACAAGUAAUAAUAAUAAUAUGAGUGCAAGUUCAUCAGGAAUUACUCCAGGAUUUUUACCAGCAGCACGUGAUGGUGUUCGUACUCCAGGACUUUCAAGGUCAA